rnacentral:lncRNA from 1 species
GAGUACUUAACUUUUUUUUAUGUCAUGGGCCUAUCUGGCAAUGUGAAGACUUCAUGACUCUUUUCUUGGAAUGAUACUUUUAAAUUCACAAUAUACACAGAAUUACAAAAGAAACCAAAGAUGAGUGGAAAUAAAUAAUUAUUUUUUCCCAAAUACAAGUUCCCAAGAAAAUCACAGAUUCCAAGUUAAGUGCCUCUGGAUUGAACUAUGAGCAAAGUUUUUAACCUUCUUUGUAUCACAGACAUCUUUGGCAAUAUGGUGACACCUAGGGAACCCUUCUCAAAAUCAUAUCUUUUAAAUGCACAAAAUAAAGUACCUGAGAAUACAGAGGAAAUCGAUUUUAUUGAAAUAUAGUUAUCAACAUAUUAAAAAGAAACAGACGAAGUUCAUGAACCUCCAAAAUAAGUACACUUACGCUUGCUCUAGUCAUCAGAAACACCCAUUGGGAGGGAAGAGAAACAGAUUCUGCUUUUCCCACAGUUUUCUCUUCCAUGCUGUCUAUGUCUUCAGGCUCAGGAGCAUGUGGCCAUUUUGA